ACAGAGGUCCCGAGCGUUGUUCGGAUUCACUGGGCGUAAAGGGCGCGUAGGCGGCCACCGCAAGUCGACUGUGAAAUCUCCGGGCUUAACCCGGAAAGGUCAGCCGAUACUGCGGGGCUAGAGUGCAGAAGGGGCAACUGGAAUUCUCGGUGUAGCGGUGAAAUGCGUAGAUAUCGAGAGGAACACCUGCGGCGAAGGCGGGUUGCUGGGCUGACACUGACGCUGGUGUGCGAAAGCUAGGGGAGCGAACGGGA
rnacentral:rRNA from 1 species